ensembl:piRNA 21ur-8120 ncRNA
UUUAUUAUGCCGUUGUCCGCU